UUUUAGGGAUAUCGGGCACGGGGUUCUCCUCCUCCGACUGUUCUCCUUCACAGUACGUGAUCCUGCGUGCCGCACGGCGGUAUCCCGCUUCGUGUGCAAAAAAGCUCGUC
rnacentral:sRNA from 1 species